UCCUCCAUCUGUGCCAGGUACAGCAGAAGGUUGAUGCAAAAAGGCUGGAGGAGACAGGCUCCAGAGACGGGCUGGGAAGGCAGCUUGGCCAGCAGCUGGGACCACAGCCAGGCCAGGGCUUCGCCACAGCCCAGCAAAACUGAAGAAAAAAAUUAAUUUGGAAAAUUAAAAAGAUAUUUUGCCACAGGGAAGAUAUGUAGCUGGGCAUGGACACAGGUCGCUCCCUGCCAGAGCAAGCUCCCACAACUUGAAGAAUAGAAGCUGCAGCCUGAGGAAAAAAAGAGCAAGGACCAAAAAAAGGAAAGGACAGAAAUCAUGGUCAUUUGGACUCCAAAUAGAUGCUUUUAACCUGCAGGAUGUAGGGAAAUCAUAAAGCAUAUUUGGCCACAUAUUAGAAAAUGUUAUAUGUCAGCUACCCAAAUAUUAGAAUCCUAUAUACCCAAGCACUGGAAACAUCCGUGUUGCAGCAAGAAGU